GAUGAACGCUGGCGGCGUGCCUAAUACAUGCAAGUCGAGCGAACAGAUGAGAAGCUUGCUUCUCUGAUGUUAGCGGCGGACGGGUGAGUAACACGUGGGUAACCUACCUAUAAGACUGGAUAACUCCGGGAAACCGGGGCUAAUACCGGAUAAUAUUUUGAACCGCAUGGUUCAAUAGUGAAAGACGGUUUCGGCUGCCACUUAUAGAUGGACCCGCGCCGUAUUAGCUAGUUGGUAAGGUAACGGCUUACCAAGGCGACGAUACGUAGCCGAACUGAGAGGGUGACCGGCCACACUGGAACUGAGAAACGGUCCAGACUCCUACGGGAGGCAGCAGUAGGGAAUCUUCCGCAAUGGGCGAAAGCCUGACGGAGCAACGCCGCGUGAGUGAUGAAGGUCUUCGGAUCGUAAAACUCUGUUGUUAGGGAAGAACAAAUUUGUUAGUAACUGAACAAGUCUUGACGGUACCUAACCAGAAAGCCACGGCUAACUACGUGCCAGCAGCCGCAGUAA
rnacentral:rRNA from 1 species